GUCCUCUUGUUUAUAUAUGAGGUCUGACCUGCCCGGUGAAAAUUAAUUUUAACGGCCGCAGUAUUUUGACUGUGCAAAGGUAGCAUAAUCAUUAGUCUUUUAAUAGGGGGCUGGUAUGAAGGGUUUGACGAGGUGUUAACUGUCUCAUUUAAUUUGAAUUUAGAAUUUAACUUUUCAGUCAAAAGGCUGAAAUUAUAUUGGAAGACGAGAAGACCCUAUAGAGCUUUAUAAUUAAAUUUUUAAUUAUUUUUUGUUUAUCAUUUUUUAUUAUUACUUUAAUUAUUUUGUUGGGGUGACAAAAACAUAUGAUUAACUUUUUUAUUUAUUUAACAUUGAUUUAUGAAUAUUAGAUCCAUUAUUAUUGAUUGUUAGAUUAAGUUACCUUAGGGAUAACAGCGUAAUCUUCCUUCAGAGUUCAUAUUUACGGGAAGGCUUGCGACCUCGAUGUUGGAUUAAGAUAAUAGUUAGGUGUAGCCGCUUAAUGUAUAGGUCUGUUCGACCUUUAAAUUCUU
rnacentral:rRNA from 1 species